rnacentral:tRNA from 1 species
UUACUGAGGUAGUUUAAAUUAUUAAAAUUUAAUGUUAGGGGCAUUAUGAUUGUUUUCAGUUUUUUUUUA